AACAAUUAAUUGGAAAAUAGAAGAACUCAACAAUCGCGGGAACAUCAAAGGGAAAGAAGGGCACAAUAUGAAAGAAAUAGAAGACAAAGAAUGAGCAGUGAGCAAAGACAACGAGAGCUAUUAAGAAGGCGAGAGAAUUAUAAUCAAAGCAAAAAUAAGGGGAAACAAGUGGAAACAUCUACAAAUAAUGAUGUUGCUUCGAGAGUGCCAUUCCAAAAUCUUACAAAUAUGAAUUUUUCAAGUACAA
rnacentral:lncRNA from 1 species